CCAGACUCCUACGGGAGGCAGCAGUGGGGAAUAUUGCGCAAUGGGGGCAACCCUGACGCAGCAACGCCGCGUGCAGGAAGAAGGUCUUCGGAUUGUAAACUGUUGUCGCAAGGGAAGAAGACAGUGACGGUACCUUGUGAGAAAGUCACGGCUAACUACGUGCCAGCAGCCGCGGUAAUACGUAGGUGACAAGCGUUGUCCGGAUUUACUGGGUGUAAAGGGCGCGUAGGCGGACUGUCAAGUCAGUCGUGAAAUACCGAAGCUUAACUUCGGGGCUGCGAUUGAAACUGACAGCCUUGAGUAUCGGAGAGGAAAGCGGAAUUCCUAGUGUAGCGGUGAAAUGCGUAGAUAUUAGGAGGAACACCAGUGGCGAAGGCGGCUUUCUGGACGACAACUGACGCUGAGGCGCGAAAGUGUGGGGAGCAAACAGGAUUAGAUACCCCGGUA
rnacentral:rRNA from 1 species